GUACACACCGCCCGUCGCUACUACCGAUUGAAUGGCUUAGUGAGACCUCCGGAUUGAUAACCAGCAUUUGGCAACAGAAGCCGGUUGUUGAGAAGUUGGUCAAACUUGGUCAUUUAGAGGAAGUAAAAGUCGUAACAAGGUAACCGUAGGUGAACCUGCGGUUGGAUCAUUA
rnacentral:rRNA from 1 species